AUCUCCUUUAAAACGCCCUGAAAAUCCAAAUUUUGGGUGGGAUCUGGGGUCAAAAAUCUCCUUUAAAACGCCCUGAAAAUCCAAAUUUUGGGUGGGAUCUGGAGCUCAGGGUGGGGAUGAAAAAUCAAUUUCCCACUUUUGUUUAUUUCCCUCAAAAUCCACUCUCAGAUCCCCCUCCCCCAUCCCUCAUUCCAAGCAAAUCCCAUUUUCCCCUUCCCAAAUGGAUUUGUUGGGUUGAGGGUUUGAAAUUGGGAUUUUUAAAGGAAUAAUUUUAAAAAUGUGAUUUUUUUUUGGGGGGGGGAAAUGGAUGUUUUAAUUGGGAGGUGAAACAGGAAUGGGAAAAAUCUGAUCCCGGGGAAAAAGUGGAAUUUUACACCAGGACAGCUCUGAAGAGAACAUCAAAAACCACCAAAACCAGUUCAAACCAGUAAAAACCAGUUCAAAACCAUAAAAAACAGUUCAAAACCAGUUCAAACCAAUAAAAACCCAGUUAAAACCAGUUAAAACCAGUAAAAACCAGUUAAAAACCAGUUAAAAACCAGUUCAAACCAAUAAAAACCCAGUUAAAAACAGUUCAAAACCAGUUAAAACCUGUUAAAAUCCCAGUAAGAACCCAGCUCGAAACCAAGCAAAAACCCAGUUCAAACCAGUUUGGAACCAGUUAAAAACCAGUCAAAAACCAGUUAAAUCCCAGUUAAAAACCAGUUUAAUCCCAUUAAAUCCCAGUUAAAACCCAGUUAAAAACCAGUUAGAAACCAGUUAGAAACCAGUUUAAUCCCAGUUUAAACCCAGUUAAAACCCAGUUAAAUCCCAGUUAAAUCCCAGUUUAAACCCAGUUAAAAACCAGUUAAAAACCAGUUAAAAACCAGUUAAAAGCCACUAAAACCAGUUCAAUCCCAGUUCAAUCCCAGUUUAAACCCAGUUCAAUCCCAGUUCCAUCCCAGUUCCAUCCCAGUUCCAUCCCAGUUCCAUCCCAGUUCCAUCCCAGUUCCAUCCCAGUUCCAUCCCAGUUCAAUCCCAGUGGCCCACUGAGGCCUUGUCCUUAUGGAGUAAAGCCAGGCUUAAACCCUGAACCUGAACUUGGAGCAAACCCCACCAAAACCUCAAAAAACCUCAAAAAACACCAAAAAAAUCCCCCAAAAUUCAACAACCACCAAAAAACACCAAAAACCCUGAAAUAACACCAAAAACCUGACAAAAAACACAACAAAAACACCAAAAACUCCCCAAAAUAAUGAGAGAAACUCCCCCAAAACUCAAGAACAGCAAAAAGCUCCAAAAGAGCAACAAAAAGCUCCUAAAAACCCCAAAAGAACCAAAAUAAUUUAAAAAAACCUGCCAAAAAUCACAAUAAAAACUACAAAAAAAACCCCAAAAUCCCCAUUUUUAUGGAUAGGUUGGGCAAAACAAAA